GCUUCCCGCAGCCAGUCAGCUACCCAAUCACCUCCCCCACCACCACGAAAAAAAAAAAAUCUGAAAAAAUACAAAUAAAAGUGCGCUACGUAGGGGCUCCUGUGGCUUUCUGUCUUUAAAAAUCUUACUCCUUUUGCUUCAUUUUAGAGCUUCCCGCAAUUCAGCCUCAUUUUUUUAAUCUUAGCACAGGAAUGGUGACAGGCGUCCCCUUUCCUCAUCUGUAAUCUUUCCACUGAUCAAUUAAUAAAAUAACAAUAAUACAAUAGUCAGCGUCCUUUAUUCCGACAGUCUUGGCGCAACGCGGCGCUGGCAAAUCCCAAAGAGGAAAUUUCGGUAUUUCAAGACUGUCCUCGGUUUGUCUUCUUGCUGAUGGGAGGAGAAUGAGGAGGUGGAAAAAGAGGAGGAGGAGGAAGAAGAAGAAGAGGAGGAGGAAGAGGAGAAGGAAAAGGAGAUGCUGUUGGCACCGUUAAACAUGCCUCUUAAUGUCAACGGCUGGCAAAUGCAAAAGGGCUUAAAAUCAGCGACAGAAUUUUGUGCCGGAAAAGCACAGAACGGCUCUGCAGCUUAAAACUUUCAUUCUCUUCAUUUCUCCGGAUGGAUGUUCUUCUUGACAUUUUUUUCCUCUUUCGUUCUAUUUGUAUUUUUUGUCUUUCAUCGUCUUAGUUCCCUCUGUCCUCAUCUCCACCGUUACUUGCCUCUCUGUAAGUGUAAUGAGCAAUUUCUUUUCUGCUGUUUUCUUCCCAAGCCUCUUUCCCUCUAACCUCUUUUUCCUUCCAGUCCUUCCUUCCUCCUGCUUCAGCCUCUGAGCUUGUGGUCUGGACUGGCAGUUUCUGAGCUCCGAGCGCUCGGCUUCUCCGUUUUUGCGCAGCGCCCUCAUUCUGCCAACCAAUCGCCGAGGAGCACCACCCACCGGGCUGCCGGUGACUGGCCAAACCGGCCGCCAAACAGACACGUCACGGGGCAGCCGGGCGGGGCGGGAUAGAACUCUCGCCCGAGCGGCCGGGGUGAGUGUGAGUGUGAGAGCGAGAACAGCCCCGCAGGUCCCGAGGCGCUGGCUGGGGACACUGCCGCGGAAAGUUCCCAGUCCCCAGCCGCAGAUCUGCAGAGUUGAAAUGAAAUGUUUUGAGCUCUUCAAGCUGACUCGUCAGAAUCCUGGAGCCUUUUAA
rnacentral:lncRNA from 1 species